GACGUAGGGGACGAGCGUUGUCCGGAUUCAUUGGGCGUAAAGCGCGCGUAGGCGGCCACGCAAGUCGGGUGUGAAAUCCCGGAGCUCAACUCCGGAACUGCACUCGAAACUGCGCGGCUUGAGGUAGGUAGGGGAGAUCGGAAUUCCUGGUGUAGCAGUGAAAUGCGUAGAUAUCAAGUGGAACACCAGUGGCGAAGGCGAAUCCCUGGACCAGUACCGACGUUCAGGCACGAAAGCGUGGGGAGCAAACAGG
rnacentral:rRNA from 1 species